rnacentral:rRNA from 1 species
GACGAACGCUGGCGGCGUGCCUAAUACAUGCAAGUAGAACGCUGAAGAGAGGAGCUUGCUCUUCUUGGAUGAGUUGCGAACGGGUGAGUAACGCGUAGGUAACCUGCCUUGUAGCGGGGGAUAACUAUUGGAAACGAUAGCUAAUACCGCAUAACAAUGGAUGACACAUGUCAUUUAUUUGAAAGGGGCAAUUGCUCCACUACAAGAAGGACCUGCGUUGUAUUAGCUAGUAGGUGAGGUAAUGGCUCACCUAGGCGACGAUACAUAGCCGACCUGAGAGGGUGAUCGGCCAAACUGGGACUGGGACACGGCCCAGACUCCUACGGGAGGUAGCAGUAGGGGAUCUUCGGCAAUGGGGGCAAACCUGACCGAGCAACGCCGCGUGAGUGAAGAAGGUUUUCGGAUCGUAAAGCUCUGUUGUAAGUCAAGAACGGGUGUGAGAGUGGAAAGUUCACACUGUGACGGUAGCUUACCAGAAAGGGACGGCUAACUACGUG